CACUGAGCAAUGAACCGUGAAAAUGAAGUCAAGGUCAAAUAAAACCUGUGAGAUUGACAUGUAAAUCAUGAAAUAUUUCCAUACACUAAAUAUAUUUGACCUAUUGCAGUUAUUCCAAUUGUAUUAGAAAGAAAUGCCAUAACACAAAAUCCUUCAUUACAUAAGGCAUCUAUACACAAAGUAUGAAGCAUCCAGGUUUUCCAUCUUCUAAAUUUAACGCUUAUAAGAAGCUAGCUAGCUAACUAAUGUAGCCGCCAGAUCACUAUCCCUAUGUCAAGCUUUUUGAGACAAAAGUAAAAAAAAAAAACCCUGUUUAAAUGAUAAAGCAAUAAAACUAGCUGUUUAUUUAUCCCUCAAUUUAUUUGGAUUUCAUAAAAUAUUUAAUCACAAUUACAUUUUCAAAUUAUUCUAAAUUGAUAAAAGAAUGAAUAAUUUCAACUACCUAUCAUUUCCCAAUUAAAUUUAAAAUAACAAUAAGAAUUCUGAUAAUAUGCACUAAUAAGUUGUUUUCGAAUUAAACGAUAUUGAAGAAUCAGAAUAGAGAAUGGAAACAUGGAAUGUGUCAAAAAGCCAGACCAAAGAGAAGAACAGAGCCGAAAGGCCACAAAUGGGACUUAAAUACAGCAAGAAAAUUCUGCACCCAGAGGUGGGCUUCAGCUGGACCCUAAACUAUAAUGUAUAUUAGUUAAGCAAAAUGGGGGGAUACUUAACAUGCAACAUAUUGAUGAACCAAAAUUUAAAAAAAACCCACAGAAAAACAACAAAGUUUCUGAGUCCUGAGUCUUUUUUUUUAAAUACUGGUUCAUUUGUUUGGUUGUGAGUUUAGCGAGGCUUUUUUUUCCCUCUAGUUUACAUUUAUUGUUUAGGAGCCAGCUGAAGCCAACCUCAAGUUGAGGGAUUUUCUUGCUGCAUUGAAAACCCAUUGUUGCUUUUUUGGACACAUUCCCUGCUUAAAAUCUCUAUCAAAAUUAAAUCAUUUAUGUGUUACAAUUCUUCUUCUUAAGAGCAGGAUUGUAAAACAAAACAUGACUGCAGAAUUUUUAGUAUGUGGAAUUAAAAUGAUCUGAAAUUCAUCAAAGAAAAGGAAAGAAUCAAUUACAUUUAAUUAAGCUAAAUUAAAAUUGUGUGUGUCUCCAUUUUUUAACAGAAAAUUGAAAUUCACUAGACUUUGAUACUUUGCACUGUAUAAAUGAAAUUUGCUUUACAUAGGUGUCUGAUGUGGAAAAUUAAUGUUUGGUCUUAAUAAGAAAUUGCAAUCCCAAUAUUUGGUAAUUCUGCAUGGAUAAACCUGUUAAUAGUUAGUAAACAGUUAUCAAAGGUACCAGAAAGUUGACCACGUUUUAAACAAACAUAUAACCAUAUCUUUUAUGUUUUAAGCAUAAUUGAUGAAAAUGUUCUUGAUAAUAAAAAAAGAUUCACACACAAAACUUACUAAGCUACUAACCUAUUAAUUAUCAUAAAAAUACACUCACUGUAUAAUAUAAAUCUAUGAGAUUAUAUUCUGCUCUUGUUUUUAAAACAGACAUUGUAAAACAGAGAUUCGUAGACAUUACAGACCUAAAGUAAAGGCAGAUCUUUUAAUAAAAAAAUAUUAAUAAUAUAAACUAAUGAAUUCAUUAUAACAGUAGCACUAUAUUAAAAACUAAUAACAGUUUAAAAAAAGUCCAAUACAGCUUUCAAAAGAUUAUGAGAAAAUACAGGUUUAACAGAUAGUUGGUUGGACAAUCAACUGUAAACUUCAUUUUUUGUUUAAUAAAAACAUAAACCAAUCAAAAUGUUAUCAAAUAUUCUGAGAGACGUUAGAACAAAAACUAUGUUUUCCUAAGACUAAUACUUAUAUAUUAUAUAUUUUUGUAUGUAUGCUUCUGAAAAAAAUUAGUAUCCAAAUAUAUGCUUAAUUUAUAAUAAAUAUGCAUCAGUAAAUAUCUAUCAAAGAAGAUAAGUAAGGAAUGCUUUCAUAUACAUACAUGUUGUUCAAAAGAGACACAUAUGAACAAAAUUAAUACUGAACUUAUAAUACAUCACAAAGGAAAGUGAUCAUGAUUUGAAAAGAAGUCGUCAAUAAAACGGGAAAAUAAUUAAAUACUCAGGGAUCAACAAUAAACAUGGUUUCCCCUUUUAAAUGUCGGAAAAUUGACAUUCUAAGCUGCCUUAAAUUUGGUCAAAACUCCCUCAUACACCAUACACGUUGACAUUUAUUUUAAAUAACUUGUUAUGCAAGAAAAUAUUGUUUUUGAUUAUAAAAAAAUGUUCUGAUAAAUAGGUAACAUUUGUAAUAUUCUUAUCAGAUAAAUUCCUGACCUUUAGGAUUGAAAUCAAAACAUAUAAUUUCCAAUAUUUUUAAAUAAAAAGAAUAUUAAACAAUUGUCUUCUUUGGCUUCAUAAUAAUUAUUGUUGAUUGUCUAUAGUAAUGAUUGAUUGAUGUUUAACACAAUUUUUAGUACUAUUGGCUUUUCAUGGCAGUCCGUUUUUAUUGGUGGAGGAAGUCAAGAGUGCCUGGAGAGGAACUACAACCUAUUGCAUGAAAACUGAUAAUCCUUGUCAAUUAAGAUAGAUUGGAGUUGAACACUUGUAGGGUUUAAACUCACACCCUAAAUGUUGACUGGCUAGUGAUACAGUAGUUAAACUCCUUAGACCGCUUGGACAUUGUUGUCAUAAUGAAAUUUUGGUCAGUCAGUUUAUAAUAUAUUCAGACAACGAUUAGAUUUAUGUUACAUUUCAAUUAAAAAAAAAAUGAAAGCUAUGAAAAACUGAAUGUUAAAUUGGAAUUUACACAUUACAACCGCAUAGUUAUACUUAUAUCAUAAUACCAACAUCUUUCUCACCUUUUUACAAAUAUCCCAUUUGUGUUAAUAAAAAAAAAAAAAAUUCACAGCUAUAAAUGUUCCCUAAUGUAAAAUUUACAUUUAAUAAUCAAACAUCCAAUUUCAUAACAACAAAAUUUUGUUUUUACCUAUUAUUCCUUAACAACAUAUUUCCAACAAUUAAAAUACCUUUUAACACCUCUUUCACUAAAAAUGGCACAAUAAACAGCACGUAAAAUUAAAGAUUGGUUUGUUGUCAAAAUUUUUAACAAAAAAUAUGGCAUUUAUCAUUUAUAAGAUAUAAUCAUCUGAAUACUAUAAAUAUAGUGUCCCACUAAACAUAGAGAUAUGGUCUACCAAAAUCACAAUUAUUAUCAUACUUUCAAAAAAUAAAAUUAUGUGUUUUUCAUUUAUAAUAAAUAUAGUAUAUAGAUAUAAAAAGAUGUGGUAUGAGCACCAAUGAGACAACUCCAUCCAAGUCACAAUUUAUAUAAGUAAACCAUUAUAGGUCAAAGUACAGUCUUCAACACAGAGUUAUAUGUAUAGUAUAAUUUUAACAAAUGUAUUUUAAUUCUUGUUAAUAAAAAAAUGUUGACCUUUCAACUUUAACAAUUGUGGAUUAAUCGUUUGAUAAGGUUUGAUUUUCACCAUCUAUGCAUGGUGACAAUUUCAAGUCAUUUAAAGUUUUAAAAUUCUAAAUGUCAAAUUAUUUUCUCAAACAUGCUAUAUAAUAAAGAAUAAGAAUGAAUGUCCAUAAGACACCAAGUCCUGCUCGUAAUAACAUAUCUCAAUGUUCAGAGAACUUCAUGGUAAACUACUCAACUUUAUAAAGUUAUGCAUGAUAUGCAUGAUUAGAAUGUUCAGGGACUUGUGACAUCUGGGUCAAAACCCUAAGCAGUUGUAUAAAAUUAUUCAUAUAUAGCCAUUAAAUAAAUAUAAAGUCCUUAUAUGAAAUAGAUACAAUAUCUUAUAUAUUGCUUCAAGUAUAAGUAUAUAAAAAAAUUUGUAAGGGUUCCACGGAACCCAGUGUCUCACCUACUUUUUCUGUUAAUCGCAGACUCAACAAAAAAAAUUUCCCUCACGAUACUGUCUUUUGAUUGAAAGAAGCUUCCAAGUUUGGUAAAAAAAAUCCAGGAUAGUUUAUGAAUCUAAUAAAUGUUUUAUAAACUUUAACUGCAGACUGUAUGUAAUGUUAACUGGAAGAAAAACUAAGUCCAUUUAUAAGUAAAAU
rnacentral:lncRNA from 1 species